rnacentral:rRNA from 1 species
AGUGAACGCUGGCGGUAGGCCUAACACAUGCAAGUCGAACGGCAGCACAGUAAGAGCUUGCUCUUACGGGUGGCGAGUGGCGGACGGGUGAGGAAUACAUCGGAAUCUACUUUUUCGUGGGGGAUAACGUAGGGAAACUUACGCUAAUACCGCAUACGACCUACGGGUGAAAGCAGGGGAUCUUCGGACCUUGCGCGAUUGAAUGAGCCGAUGUCGGAUUAGCUAGUUGGCGGGGUAAAGGCCCACCAAGGCGACGAUCCGUAGCUGGUCUGAGAGGAUGACCAGCCACACGGGACGUGAGACACGGCCCGGCCCCCUGCGGGAGGCAGAAGGGGGGAAUAUGGGAAAAUGGGCGCAAGCUUGAACAACCCAUCCCGGGUGGGAGAAAAAGGCCUUGGGGUUGUAAGCCCUUUUUGUGGGGAAAAAAAAGAAGCAGUUAAACCCCCCCUUUUUCGGAGGUAACCAAAAAAAUAAGCACGGGUUAAUUUCGGG